UACGUAGGGGACUAGCGUUGUCCGGAUUUAUUGGGCGUAAAGAGCGUGUAGGCGGCCAGAUAGGUCGGUUGUGAAAACUGGAGGCUUAACCUCCAGCCGUCGACCGAAACCAUUUGGCUAGAGUCCGGAAGAGGAGAGUGGAAUUCCUGGUGUAGCGGUGAAAUGCGCAGAUAUCAGGAAGAACACCCGUGGCGAAGGCGGCUCUCUGGGACGGUACUGACGCUGAGACGCGAAAGCGUGGGGAG
rnacentral:rRNA from 1 species